UACGUAGGGGGCGAGCGUUGUCCGGAUUUAUUGGGCGUAAAGAGCUCGUAGGCGGUUUGGCAAGUCGGGUGUGAAAACUCCGGCGUCAACUCGGAGACGCCACUCGAUACUGCUAUGACUCGAGUCCGGUAGGGGAGUGCGGAAUUCCUGGUGUAGCGGUGAAAUGCGCAGAUAUCAGGAGGAACACCGGUGGCGAAGGCGGCACUCUGGGCCGGAACUGACGCUGAGGAGCGAAAGCGUGGGGAGCGAACAGG
rnacentral:rRNA from 1 species